GACGAACGCUGGCGGCGUGCUUAACACAUGCAAGUCGAACGGAAAGGCCCUGCUUUUGUGGGGUGCUCGAGUGGCGAACGGGUGAGUAACACGUGAGUAACCUGCCCUUGACUUUGGGAUAACUUCAGGAAACUGGGGCUAAUACCGGAUAGGAGCUCCUGCUGCAUGGUGGGGGUUGGAAAGUUUCGGCGGUUGGGGAUGGACUCGCGGCUUAUCAGCUUGUUGGUGGGGUAGUGGCUUACCAAGGCUUUGACGGGUAGCCGGCCUGAGAGGGUGACCGGCCACAUUGGGACUGAGAUACGGCCCAGACUCCUACGGGAGGGAGCAGUGGGGAAUAAUGCACAAUGGGCGGAAGCCUGAUGCAGCAACGCCGCGUGCGGGAUGACGGCCUUCGGGUUGUAAACCGCUUUCGCCUGUGACGAAGCGUGAGUGACGGUAAUGGGUAAAGAAGCACCGGCUAACUACGUG
rnacentral:rRNA from 1 species